AGAAAACAGGAUGCACCUGUGGCUAUCAGCUGACAAACAACUCAGAGACCCUGUGGGGGCUAGGCCCCAACACCAAGGAAUUGAAGGAUCUCUACAAUAACAAUACUAAACCUCUGGAAAAAAAUACAGAGAAAGACACUAUGAAAUGGAAAGACAUUUCAGGCUCAUAGAUUAAUAUAAUUAAUAUUUUAAAGAUGACCAUUCUACCAAAAGCUAUUUACAUAUUCAAUGUAAUAUCAUACAACAUCUGCAUAUUAUUCUUUACAGAAAUAGGAAACAUUGUAAAAAAUUCACAUGAAACAACAAAGGACCCCGAUAUACAAAACAAUCCUGAACAAAAAGAGCAAUGUUUGGGGGAUUACCAUUCUACAUUUUAAAAUACAUUGUAGAACCAUAGACAAAAGCAAUAUUGACUGACUCCCAAACAAACACAUAGAGCAAAAUCAAAGACCCAAACAUGAGUAAACAUAACUUCAGUCAAUUUUUAUUUGACAAAAAUGCAAAAGAAGAGAUAAGCUGGAGAAAAUAAACCAGCUUCAACAAAAGGUGCUUGGAAAACUAGUUGCCCACAUGCAGAAGAAUUAAAUUAGUCCUGUAUUUAUCACCUUGCACAAAAACUAACCCAUGAAUUAAAGACCUAACCAUGGAACUUGAAACAAUGUAACUCUUAAAAGAAAACAAACAUGGUACAUACAUGAUAUAAGUGUAGAAAAGGACUUUAUGAAUAGAAUUCCAUUUGCCUAAGAAUAUAGGCCUACAAUUGACAUGGGACUUCAUAAAAUUAAGAAUCUUGUACACAGCCUAAGAAACAGCUCUCCUGAUGAAAAGGAAACUCAGAAAAUAGGAGAAUUGUUGCUAUCUAUGCAUCUGACAGAAGAUUAAAAUCCGGAAUAAAUAGAACUAAAGAAAUCGUGAAGAAUACAAAAACAAAUGUCUUAUUCAAAAAUUGGCCUAGAAAGUGAGCAGAGUUCUCAAAAGAAGAUUAAAAAAGAACAUCUCAAAAAAUUCAUCACCCCUAGCAAUUAAGGACAUGCAAAUUGAAACACCUGAAAGUUUUCAUCUUACUGCAGUUAGAAUGGCAAGGGCAAAGAAAACAACAACAAAUGCUGGGGAGGAUGUGAGGAAAUGGAACCUUAGGUCACUGUAGGUGGGGCUGGAAACUGAAUCAGUCACUGUGGAAAUCAGUGUGGAGAAUUCUCAAACAGAUAAAAGUAUCUCUACCGUAUGACCCAUCUCUACAACUUCCUGGCAUAAACACAAACGACUUGACAUCCUACUCCACAGAUAUGUACUCAGUCAAAUUCACAGCUGCCGCAUUCACAAUAGUUAGGAAAUGGAAACAACCUAAAUGUCCAUCAACUGAUCCAACAUACGGACAAUGAGAAUGUAGUACAUAUACACACAAUGGCAUACUAUACAGUAAUUUAAAUCAGGAAAUUUGCAGAUGGAUGGAUGUGACUAGAAAAUAUAUUAAGUGAGGUGACUCAGACGCAGAAAGAUAAAUGUCACAUAUUCUCUCUCAUUUGAUUUUUCUAGCUUCAAAUCUUUAAGUAUAAGUGUAUAACCUGAGGCAACUCUAAAAACACAGAAAGUAAAAUGGGACCUGGGGGCUCUAGAGAGGAGAAUAGCAAGAUACAGGGGAUCUUAAGGGGAAAAUCAGAAAGACCUGGAGUGUGAGCUUUAAUUGCCAAGGCAGAAGGAAGGCAAUACUGAGGGAGCAAGAAGGAUAAGUAAACACUAAGGAUGCUCAAAAAAACAUAGGAAACAUUAUUUGAUAUUUACUGAACUUAAAAUUUCAUGUAAUACACUCACAUAAAGUUACACCCCUUGGGGAUAAUAAUAUGCCUCCAAAGAGCCUUGGUCUAACAAAACCUCAGUACCAAGUGUAAGAAUCCUCCUGUCAAGUUAUUGGACAGGAGUUUUGUUUUCUAAAAACAGCAUAGGCUAUUGCUGUUGUCCUUCAUUAUAAGUAAGUCCCUACUGCAAAAGACCACCCCAACUCUACCCCCUACUCCACCCGACUUCAGGGAGACAUAUGAUGGUUCUAACCUCAAAUCCUCCUCCCUGAGCUUUAGCUUUCAUAGAACUAGAAGGUGAUUUACUACACCCAUGAAAUCUCAACAACAUGGCUCUACCUAUACAAGACCUGAAAAUUUCCAACACUAAGGACAUCCCAGCAGGUAUGUGGGGAACUCUCACUAGUCUGUACCUCUAGAUCAAGAGCUAUAAACAAUUAACAACCGCUGAGAAAAAAUGAGGAUUAGUCUUCUUCUCCAGGAAAGCACCCUCUGAUUGUUAUCCAAUAUCAAAUGGUCAGCUCUAGAAACAUAUACAUACACAGCACACCAAAUGGAGUCAGCAGGUUGUAUUUAUAUGUUUAUCCAUGUGUGGCAUGCAACAACAAUGGCUAAAGAAAAGGCUGUGAAUUUGAGAAGGAGCAGGGGAAAGAGCAGACAUGGGAGAGGCAGGAGGGUGAAGUGGGAGGGGAAGAUUAGGUAAAUAUACUUUAAGGUUUUAGAUAAAGGGUCAUUUUAAGACAUAAAAUAAUAGUUCGAUUAUUUUUCAAAGAACAAAUUAGGAAAAUCUUUUCCUGAGAUUUUUUUAAAAAUUUUUUUGUUUCAUUUUUCAUUUUAUAGACACUUUGUAAUUUACUAUCUUAAAAGAAUGGAAUGUGGGCUGGGGGUUUGCUUAAUAGUAAAUCAUUAGUCUAGCUUGGUCAGAGCCCUGGUUUCAGUUUCAGCCACCCUUUCCACACCCACACACAGACAAAAGGGUCUGUAACAAUAAUGGUAAAAGAAAAAGUGACUGAUUUGAGAAAGAGCAGGGGAGAGGGCCUAUAUUGGCAGGAUAGAGCAGAGAACAGGGGUGGGGAACAUUAUAUAAUUAUAUUUUAAUAAAUGAAAAAUGACUUAAAAAUCUCCAAGAGACACUAAGUUAGUAAGUGUGAUAGAUAUGUUAAAAAUAGAACUGCAUUAUUCCUUCCAAAUUAUCACCCUGAUUUAGAAUUUUUAUGCUUAUAUUUUCUCUCUUACAUGCAUUGAGAAUAAUACCGUCUCCUGUUCAUCAUGGUGUUCUCAGUACCUGACAAAUGAUAAGGAUGUCUUCAAACUCACAGGGAUCUGUCUGUCUCUGCCCCUUAAACGCUGUGAUUAAAGGCAUGUGCUACCACACCCAGGUUGGACUACAAAUUUAUUAAGCAUCUUGAUUCCAGUGAAACAGAACAUGCUCUCAGCUUGUUUAUAUGGUGGAUUACGUUGAUGGAUUUUCGUAUGUUGAACCAUCCCUGC